AUUGAACGCUGGCGGCAUGCUUUACACAUGCAAGUCGAACGGUAACAGGGUGCUUGCACCGCUGACGAGUGGCGAACGGGUGAGUAAUGCGUCGGAACGCGCCGAGUAGUGGGGGAUAACGCAGCGAAAGUUGUGCUAAUACCGCAUACGUACUGAGGUAGAAAGUGGGGGACCUUCGGGCCUCACGCUAUUCGAGCGGCCGACGUCUGAUUAGCUAGUAGGUGAGGUAAAGGCUCACCUAGGCGACGAUCAGUAGCGGGUCUGAGAGGAUGAUCCGCCACACUGGGACUGAGACACGGCCCAGACUCCUACGGGAGGCAGCAGUGGGGAAUUUUGGACAAUGGGCGAAAGCCUGAUCCAGCCAUGCCGCGUGUCUGAAGAAGGCCUUCGGGUUGUAAAGGACUUUUGUCAGGGAGGAAAUCCCUAGUGCUAAUAACACUGGGGGAUGACAGUACCUGAAGAAUAAGCACCGGCUAACUACGUGCCAGCCGCCGCAGUAAAAC
rnacentral:rRNA from 1 species